UCCUUCCUUGUCUUGGGGAGCAUAGUGCGCAGUGAUCGUAAAGUGAGAGCACUGAUGCUGACACCCAUUGGUUAAACCACCCGCGCCCGGCUGCCGGCUGGGAGUCCGAGCGCAAUUUUUGUAAGG